UUGGGAAUCUUGCACAAUGGGGGAAACCCUGAUGCAGCGACGCCGCGUGGAGGAUGACGGAUUUAGGUCUGUAAACUCCUUUUUCAGGGAAAGACUUAGGACGGUACCCUGAGAAUAAGCUCCGGCUAACUACGUGCCAGCAGCCGCGGUAAGACGUAGGGAGCAAGCGUUGUCCGGAUUUACUGGGCGUAAAGCGCGCGUAGGCGGUCUGUUAAGUGAGAAGUGAAAUCUCCAGGGCUCAACCCGGAAACUGCUUUUCAUACUGGCAGACUUGAGGGAAGCAGAGGUUUGUGGAAUUCCUGGUGUAGCGGUGAAAUGCGAUGAUAUCAGGAGGAACACCAAUGGCGAAGGCAGCAAACUGGGCUUCAUCUGACGCUGAGGUGCGAAAGCGUGGGUAGCAAACAGG
rnacentral:rRNA from 1 species